CAGAGAAGAUCACGUUUCCAAGUUUGUUCAGCAUACAACUCUGGGAUCUAGACAGCCUCGCUUGUUUCUGUUCAGCAGGUUCACAUGCUACUACUGAAUUCCUAGCUUUGGAGGCUUUGCUAAUAAUUGAUUGUCCAAGCAUGAAGACCUUUGGUUAUGGAGAUCAACUGACGCCCAAGCUGCUGAAAGGAGUGAAGUUAGAAGGUGGUGAAUAUCGCUGGACGGGUAACCUUAACCACACCAUUCAACAAUACGUGUACAACGCAAAGGUACGUCAAGUUAGCAAUUGCUUGCCCAUUAAAUUCCUUGUUUUUUUUUUCUUAAUUGUAUUUGUAUGUGGUGGUAAAAUGAUUUUCUACAUCUGCUUAUACUAGCACACCAUUUUAAUUUUGUUUUUCAUUUGGGGCAGAAAAUUCGGGAGAAAGAACCAAUGAAGUCAGGAAUUUCAUCUGAGACUACUUCCUCUGACACUGACAAUUGAUUGUGUAAAACAAACGGUAUGCAUGCGUAAAAUUUUACUAAAUUCCCUAGAUUUUGUCACAUAUUUAUCCUUUGACAUUGCUCUAACUAAUUCAAAUACUUGAUUUGUUUUCAGAACCAUCAGAUAAGGAGCGUUGACAGGUUCGCAUACAUCACCAGUUUAUUGAAUUUCAUUCUCCUUUUUCAUGUCUUAUAUAUUAAAUGUACAAAAGAAUUUCAUGUAUUUUCUUCGUUUGGGAUUGUGCAUGAUGUUAUUUAUUCUGGUUUCAAUCUCUCAGGUAUGCCAAGCCCAGAAGCCAGAUUGCUUGGGAUGUUAAAAUAAUAAUUACUUUAGUUCGUGGAGCUGCCUGCAAAAAUUUGGUAUCCAUAAUGUAUGUUGUUUGUUUAGAUAUUAAACAAUUAGAGUUUGUUAACCAUAGACGUAUUCUCAAUGUAAUAAGUAUCGGCAGGAAACUGCUGAUGUCAAUUCUGAAAAAUAAAUGUAAUUUGGUAUUACAAGUGAGAAAAAUAAUUGUGAAUCCUUAUUUCUUUUGUUUGCACUUGGUUACCAGUCAAUUUAAGAGAUACAUUAAUGAUAUUCUCUUCUUCUAUUUCUUCUAUUCUUUAAUUGUUUUUCAUAGUAAAAAAAAAUUAAAAUUAUUUGAUAUCCUAGUAACCUACUUUUAGAGCCUGCUAAUUUAGUUGCAGCUUUGCAGUAUUGAGUUACUGAAUUAAGAAAAUUAGAUUUUUCCUCUUUCCAGAUCAAUGCAUGCUAAUGCAACAUUGCUUUCUGGCAAUAGAACAGGCUGCCAAUGGAACACAAAUUUAUAAGUUUCGGGAUAAAAUUUUCAUUAACUAAUAAAAAGCUGAAUGGCAAUUUCCUAGUGACAGAUGCUGAAUCUGUAGCUUCAUUUUCUUGGUAACCAUUUUUCCAAAGUUCAAAGCUUCUCUGCUACUUGUGCCCAAUCAUGUCUCAAGCCAAUCUCAGAAAUAACUCUGAGAAGAUGCCCUGCCAUCAGAGUUCAAUCAAAAGGCCUUCAGGAUUUGGCUGACAGAUAAAUGCUUGAAGCAAAAUUUUACCUUCAGCAGCAGCUGCACCAAGAAAAUGCACAGCCAUUUGAUCAUUAUCAAAUGCAAAAUGAACAGGCACAAGCGGAGAAACAGGUUUCAGAAUUGGAGCAGCGGCUCCGUGGGGGCCGGUGGGAGCUUCACUAUUUGAGGGUGAGAACAGAAAUCGGGCCAUCAUCAUUCUGAUUUCUGAAGAGUUUAUUGUGUUUCUAUUAUGAGAUGAUUAAGUGCGUUGACUAUGUUCUGGUGUUGUGCUGAAUGUUUAUUUCAACAUAACUUUGUCUGGAACAACUUGUGUUUGGAGUUUUAAGUUUCACAAAGAUAUUAUUUGCGUACUUUAUUUCAGUUUAAUUUCCAUAGAUGACUUUUAUACGGCUUAUAUAAAUCUUGAUUUCUGCGGGGGUUAAGUUUGUGUUUAUUACAUACGCAAACAUACAUAUGAAAAGACCAAUAUGCUCAGGCUUUGCAACAUAAACUCAGGUGAGUCCUCUAACAGUCGUUUUUCCUCUUAUUUUUUCGAUAAAUCCUAACAUUUGACUCCACAGUGUCACGUGGAACUCAUAUAUCGGAUUAUGAAUUUCUUAAUUUCUGAAAUUAAUUAUUACUUUAUUGUAUCAACACUUGGGGAAAUUCCACACAGCAACACAAGAAGUCAUGGAAAAAUUCAACAGGUUGCCAAUGGGAGUAGAAAUUUACAGGUUUCAGAAUAAAAUAUUUUCAUUAAUUGAUAAAAUAUUUGAAUGGAAAUACUAGAAUUAUUAUUCUAAAUGAAUGGGCAAGAAACAAAAAACUAAAUCUGAAUUUCGUAGCUCGUACUGUUUGUGGUGAAAAACAUGACGACGAGGAAUUCAUGAGUAGAAAGGUGCUCCCCUCAUCAAAAACUAGCUCAUCAUGGGUUUUCAUCCGCAAGGAGCCAUGUUCUGGUCGCUCGAGUGCUUCGCUUGGUUGGGGAUAGGCGACGAGAGGCCCUGGUCGAAUAUGAUCGGUCUUGACUGGUCAAAGAAUCGGGCCUAGGGCAUGGGUAUCUAGGAUGUUGGUUUUUCCCUAAGAAUUCGGGGCAUGAGAUCCACUCAAGGGCACUCACCCACGAUGGUGCAACCGACCCAGAAAUGAUUGUGGAGAUAGGGCCGCAAAUUUCGGAUGGGUAUAAACGACACAGGGUCGAAGAAAAAGGAGGAGAAAAAAAAUUUCUCAGGGACUGGAGACAUUAUCUCUCUAAGAUUCUCUUCAAGGAAAAAAUUCUCUUAUUUUAUUAAAAAAAAAAAUCUCUAGAAGAAAUUAAGUGGGCUAGUUUUCAAACUGUUACAAUUAAACCAUGAGUGAGCGGUACAAGUUUUUCCAAGAAAAAAGACCCGAUUACUGACUUAAACGUUAGGGGUUUAUCGCCAGAAAAACAUCUAGCAUUACUAAUAUGACCAAUAAUAUAUUACGUGAGUUAUACUCUAAUCUGGUAAUAUAAUAACAAUUCUUACCAAAAAUUUAUCAACUUAAAAACAAUGUUGGGUACAUUUUCUUUUAUGCUAUGAUUAACAUACCCACACCCACCCCCAAGGGCGUAGUCGGGUUAGUAACAGCAUGAAGCUUGUAGCAGCUAACCACUCGGGUUCAAGUCUUGGGGGAGGUAUGGGGAAAAUAAAAAUUGUUUGGGUUUGGCCCACCCCCUUACUUUUAAAAAAAAAAAAAAGAUACCCACACCUUCAAUGAUGACUAUAAUGCAUAAAUAGACAUUUAGCUUCACAAAAUUGACACACAAACCCUCGAUUAUUUGAAAUGAUUUAAAUUUAUUGGAAAUUGUUUAUUUUGUGUGGGAAUAAUUACACAGGUCAAGCGUCAUCAAGAACUCCUUAUAAAAAAUUGAGGAGCCAUGGAAUAACGAACAUGCUAGGUUGGGGAAUUUUGAUGAUAAUUGGAGCUAUAUUAGCUCGAUACUUCAAGCAAUGGGAUCCAAUUUGGUUUUAUUCACAUACUUUGGUUCAGUCACUGGGAUUUGUACUUGGCGUAGCUGGUGUAAUUUGUGGACUUGUGCUGGAAAAUAAACUCGAUGCCGAUGUUUCAACCCACAAAGGUCUUGGAAUCUUCAUACUUGUUCUUGGUUGCCUCCAGGUUUUUUUAUGUUCACACUAUUUAGCAAUUUAUGGACUUUCUCUCUCUCUCUCUCUUUUUCUGUUUGAUGCUCACACUUCAUAAAUUUCUAUUUAUUUAUUUAUUUAUGUUGAAUGAUUUUCAAGUAAUUUUAUAUAAUUCCUCACUUGAAUUUAAGUCUUAAAGAAGAUUUAAGCUUUGUUAAAAUUUAAUAUAUCUUGAUGAAAUAUAUUAAACAGUGACAGAAUACAUCUACAUUUUUUUUAAAUAAAUGUGAGAAAAUAUUAAAGAGUGACGACAUAUGACUUACUAAUCAGGGGCGGAUCUCCAACAGGGCCUCAAACCUUGAGCCCCGACCCAAGGCCCUACAAAAACUUUUGUUUCAUAUAAAGCACACAAUUUUACACUUUGGACCCCAUUACUUUGGACGAUUUAUGUUUUACCCCUCACCUCUCUAAAUAUCUUUUUAUAGACAUUGACCUUUCUAAAUUUAUUACUUUUAUGAUGCUUUUUGGCCACUUCGAAUUUUCAAUUUUAGCUCUGCCUUGUUUCUAGCCAUAAUGUGCAGGAGGGAACUAAAUAAAUUUGUAGGGUGGCCGAGUCCAAGGAAAAAAAAUCGGGGGAAAAUUAAAUAUUAAAUGAAAAUUUCCCCAUCUUAUGUUAAUUUGACUUUUGACCCCAAAUUUUAUACAUAAUAUUUUCACAGCCUAAUUUAUUUUAUGAUUUAUCAAUUAUAGCCCCACUAUAGGCCUCUGAAAUUUUACCGUUUUGAUGUUAUAGCCUAGUCAAGUAUAUAAUUUCUCCAUUAUGCUGCCGGCAAAGCAAAAUUCUUAGAAAAUUUACAAUACUUUAUUUGAUGAACCAUUAACAAGUUUUUGUCCUUUUUUUUUUCUAAUUAUGUGUUACUAGAUUAUUUAAUUUAAAUUUUUAUAAAACGUAAAAUGUUAAUGAUUUGUGUUAUGUAGGUAAUGGCAUUUUUGGCCCGACCCAACAAGGAAUCAAAAGUGAGAAAAUAUUGGAAUUGGUGCCAUCACAACAUGGGGAGGAUUCUGAUCAUAUUUGCAAUAGCAAAUAUUUUCUAUGGAAUUCAUUUGGGUGAAAAAGGAAAGGGAUGGAAUGCUGGUUAUGGGAUCACUAUUGCCAUCUUGUUUUUUUAUCGCUAUUGUUCUAGAAAUAAGGAUGUGGAUGAGAAAAUAAAAGUUCUUUAUUUCUUCAUGAAAAAUGCUAUUUGGACCAUUAAAAAAAAAGAUUACCAUUUUUUUUGGUCAAAAUAGUAUUGAUGUACCUUUUAAUUAUUUUAUAUAUAUUGAUUAAUGACUGAUUUAUGUUUUUUUUUUGUUUCACUCCUAAAUUCCACUGAUUUUUCUAAAGACAAUGAAAACAUAUGAUUCUAAUUAUUUGAAUAUUUCAUUUUUAGUAUGUUUUAUCAAUUAUUUAAUUUUAGACAUUUGCAGAACCAACAAAAAUAGAUAAAUGGGGAAACGAGUAAAACUGCUCCUCUUGUUUAACAAAAUCGAGCACGAGGAGGUGUCUCUAUUUUUUUCUAGAUAAACCAAUGCCCUAACUAAGUUUUGAAAAAAUAUUUGAUGCAUGUAUAACAUCAUAACAACCCUUGUGCCUUAGAAAAUUUUUAAAAAUGUCUUGGCUGAUUUUUAAACUUUUGGAUUUUACCUCUUGUGAAACCAAUUCAAACUUGCCCCUCCUACACUGAAUUUCUUGCUGCACCCCCCACUUGUGGGCAUAUUGAUUUUUACGAGCCAUGCUCUCAAUGAGGAAUCAUUUCUCCAUUGGCAAUAUUUUCAUUGUGCAAAUGAUGUUGCCUUAUGCCAAAACUUUUCAAUAUGAAAUGAAAAAGAAAGUAACACUUUACCUCAAUUGUCCCACUCGAGGUCCUCUACUUAGGGAUGGCAAUGGGCACCGCCUGCAGCGGGUUUGCCAUUACCAAACCCAAACCCGCACAAAAUUUAAAUUACCAAACCCAUCCGCAACUCGCAGCGGGUUUUAAUUUUUUUUAAAAAACCCACCCGCAGCGGGUUUUAACAAUUACCAAACCCACAAAUCUAUUUAAAAAACACAAAUUAGUAUCUAAAAAUAAUAAUUACAUUUCAUAUUAUCAUUUAAAACAAGAUCCAAGAAAAGAUAUUCAUUUCAUUCACCAUCAUAAGCACCCAUCCAACACAAUGCCUAUAAUAAUAAUUAAGAUUAAUAUUUUCAAAUACUAAUUCGAAGGGAAAUGCCUUUAAUUUUUUUUAGGUUAUGACUUUAGAAUAAGAGAUGGGCCACAUACACAACUUUGAGCCUUUGUCUAUUUAGUAAUUUGAUUAAUGACAUUAUUUUCUUUAUACAUUUUUAUAUUUAAAUUAAAUUAAAAAUAUUUGAAAAAAAAUAUUACGGGUUUGGUGGAUAUCCAUGCGGGUAUCCACCGGAUAUAAGGUUAAUACCAAACCCACCCGCAUCCAUGUGCAGGUUUUUAUUUAUAAUACUAAACCCGCCCGCAACGGGUAAAAUUACCCGCAACGGGCGGGUUUUGGCGGGUGGGUUUGGGCGGAUUUGCGGGUUUGCGGGUACAAUUGCCAUCCCUACCUCUACUCCUCUUGUUGUAAUAAAGCUCAAAAAGUUUCAACUACUUACCUAAGAUUGGUACCUUUUUUGUUUUGUUUGCAUCCACACUACACUUUAUUCGUCCAUUCAAUAAUUUCCCUAAUGUUAGACAACCAAAUAAUGUUAAAAUUGAAUAAACAAUCAAAUUGAUGAUGGGGUUGAAACUCUAAUUAAUUAAAAAACUACUAAAUUGAUUGUUCUUUUGAAUAAAUAUGAAAUUAAUAAACACAAUUGGUUAAUUAUGUAAAUUUUUUUUUUAUGCGGACAUUCUUAUUUUAUAAAGCAUGAACUCGAACGAAAACAACAAAUGUAUAACGUAGUAUGGUUAGAUUUUAAAUCCGUAUUUUCAUUAAGAGUUGACAUCUACACCAAAAACUAACUUAUAGAUAAUUAUAUUUCAGAGAAUAAAAAAAAUAUAUAAUCAAAGUGUAAAUCUCAUUAAAGUAAACUCUAUUUUUGGACUCAAAUUUACUCAGACUCCACAUUUGGAGAGCUGAUACUCAUCCAGAUGGGUUGCCAUAAAUAAAAUGAACCUUGUAAUUAUCUGUUAAGUGACAAUAAAAGUAUCUGCAAGCGCCUAAAUAUCAGCUGACCUGUCAAACGUUGACCAAAAUUCUCUUUUUACUGUAGAAGCAAAGCAAAGUCCUAACUAAGGUGGGCCCCACAGGGUUGCGUUGGUUGCAUAUACGGAUAAAGACAACAAUUUGAUAAAUUAAAUUUAAAAAUUCCCCAAUAAAUUCAUCCUGUCAUUGCCAUUCUGUCAAUUCUUUGUCCAUCUGCUUCUCAAUUGAGUCUCACACCAAUCACCGUGUCUCUGGUCUCCUAUAAAUAUGUUGUAACAGUGACUGUUAUUGUAUCACUAUUCACUUACAAACUUGAAAAAAAAACCACUAGGGUUUAAUCUCUCUCUAAAUUUGAACCUCAUUUGUAAGCAUCAUCAGAUAGCCUUUUUUUUGUGGGUUUUUUUUUUUCACAAUUGCAUCAUAUAUACGUAUGUACACAUACAUAUAUAGCUAGAAGCUUGAUUAUAUAUAGUUAUUAGAUCAAUUCUGAUUAGUCAAGGGUUUUGUUAGAUCAUAACGUUUCCAAAAGUUGUUUACUAGGGUUUCUAACCAUGAUAUUUUUUGAUAAUUUUUCGCAAAAGUUAUUUAUCAGUUGAUCAUGAGAUAAAGAUCUUGCAAUUGCAUUUUGAUAUGAAAUUCUGAUACAUGAUGCGGAUGCAAUUUUGACCUAUUUAGUAGUUAUAUUAUGAUCUUAAUUCUGGUGGCUUUGUUUUUCAUUUUUUUUUUUUGCUUUUGAAUUUGAAGGUUUUUUAGGGAUUUGCAGUUAUGGAUAAGGGCAAGAGACCAAUCCAAGAAGAAGAAAAUUUGUCAUCUCCUCUUGAUGAUUAUCAUACAAAUAAUAUGAUCUUACCUCCAACGCCACUAGCUCCACCGGGUUUCAGUGUCUUGAAUUUUGAAGGAUCAGGUGAUAGAAAAAUAUGAAACCCUAGCCAAACAAGUUAUAAGUUAAUUUAGAGAUAAUUUUAUUUAGUUCUUUUCUUUUUUUAAAAAUAAAAAUUAGUAAACAUUAACUUUUAAGUUGAACUUGAAUAUAUGUGGUGAUGGCAAAGAAACAACAGCAGCUUCUGCUGUGGAUGACAUGGAUCAGGUGGCCAAGGAAGAUUUCUUUUCCAAAUUCCUGAGCAUGAGCGUUGCUGGAGUUCCUGUCCCCUCUAUGGAGCAAUAUUCUAUGUCGUCGGCAUCAAACACCGGAGUUUUGCCAAUGGCACAAGCUGAUGAUUAUCACGAUGAAAUGGCCGAUCCGAUACUGCCAAUUUCACACAAACUUGCUGGCAAUAAGCCACCUCCGGCAACAGCUGAUGAUGACAAAGAUAAACCACUUGUGUUCAAAAAAACCAUGCCUCCUCAUGAGCUGGCUCAAAUAUCCAUAUUUGAUCCUAAGCGAGCAAAGAGGUACAUAGAUUUCUUUCAAAAUUAAACUUACUAUCGUUGCUAUCCAUACACUCUUUUCUUGUACUAUUAGUGACCUAUUUCUCUUCAUUUUAGUUUUACUUUAAUAUGCUGAUAAUUAAAUGUGUUAUUAUUAGCACCUCUAUGGUGUUCAUUUCUCAAUUCACAAGUGGUACCCAAAAUCUAUUUGUUACAAUUUUUUUUUUUAAAUAUAGGUUCUAUAUAUGUUUUCUUAGUCGUAUAUACGCCAAUGAUCAUCAAAUCUAUGUCUAAAUGGAUAUGAAUUCAUUAAUUGAGAAAUAUAGUUGUUAGAAUACAUUUGUAUCAAUAUUUUAUAUAUCUAAUAGUAGUUGUUCAUGUUUUUGUAGUACUAAACUUCAAUCUGCAUUUUGGUUUAAAUAUAACACAUGAUGUUAUAUAAUGUUGUCAAACAUUGAAAUGGAACAUUAGACAUGAAUUAGAUAAAUAUUUCGCGAACUCCGUGAUCAUUAAUGCUUGUUUUCCACGUAAAUAACGAUGUCUUUUGCAUGAAAAAGAUACUAAAAAUAGAAAUUUAGAUAAAGAUUUUAUGUAUAAAAUGUAAUUUUAAGUUAAACUUUCAAUUCAUAGAAUCUAUGUAAGAUUAUAUGUGAAAAUCAAAGAACUAAUUAGAAGAGUGUUUAUUGAACAUGUAUUUGGUAUUCAUCUAGAUUUUCAAAUUAAAGUCCAGAGACUAGCAGUCACAGAAUAAUGAUCUAUAGAAGUUUCCUCAAUUCAUCUGAUUUAUUCAAACUUUUUGUACUCUGUCCAUGGCUUGAUUUGUUUCAACUGUUAUCGUCUUUUGAUCUAUAUUUGUCAUGUAAUCAUGCAUUUUCAUACUUCCUGUAAAUGCAUAUGAUGAUUAUAUAUGCAGGUCUAUAUGCUUGUAAGCAAAAAUGAAUUUUAAUUAAUCCUAUUUGUAGGUUUUAUAACAAAGGUUAAAAGAUUGUUUCUAUAUCAUACUCUAUGUGCUCCUUUGAAUAUGUGUCAUAGGAUCGUGGCAAACCGGAUGUCAGCAAUUAGGGCAAAGGAAAGGAAGAAGCUGUACAUAUACAUGCUUGAACAUAAGAUGCAUAAUUUGCGAUCUAAUUCAACUACAUUGACUGCUCAAUUGACCCUAUUGGAGGUAAUUAAUUGUCAUAUAAACCAGUAGUUUAUUGACAAGAACCCGCUUCAUAUGUGAUAUAUUUUGUAUCUCUAAAAACAUUUUUGUCUACUAAUUACAAGCAGACAGAAAGCAAUUCAUUGGAUGCUGAAAUGGCCGUGCUGAAACAUCGAUUGGAGAUCACGUUGCAAAAGAUUCACUUGCAAGACUGUAAGUAAUUCUUUUGUUUCCAUUGCUAUAUAUAUCCUUACACUUCUCUUUGUUUGAUUUAGUGUGUGUCUGUUGCUGUGUGUUAUUUGUGAAUCAGUUAUUGACUCCAUGCAUAUAAAUAGAGCAUAAUGAUGAGGAAAAUUAUGAUAUUAUUAAUUGUGUUUAUAUUCAUGCUGUAGCUUCAUUAUCAUUGUUGAACCACGCGAAGUCUUGCUUUCUAUAAUGUUAAUGAUAAUGGGAGAUUAAAUAUUAUAUAAUCGUUUUCAGUGCGUGCUCCCUCGUUUUUAAAAUGUAGAUUCGGAUCUUAUAAUGUUGUAAAAUUUCAAUUCUGCACUUUAAAAAUAUGAACGUUUGCAUCAAAGAAGUAGAAGUACAUAUUUCUUGAAUUGAAUCUUUAUUGUAUUAUUUGAUACAUAUAUAGAACAUUAAUUAAUUUCUUCUGACCUUUCCUUUUGGCAGGGUUGAAUGAUCAAAUAAGAAGUGAAAUCCAGCAUAUGAAAACCGUGCUUGGACAAAACAUACCUAAUCUUGGAGCCCAUAUUGGAUUAACCAGAAGCAAUAGCUAUCGGGACAUAAAUGCUUCCAUAGGCGCCGCCGCACAACUGCUUCCAGAGCUCCAGCUUCAGAACCCGUAUCUGGAGCAACAACCACAGUAUGAUUUUCAGCAGCAGCCAUAUCUCGGGCUAAACAAUUUUGGAUUUCAGAAUGAGCAAGGAGAAUGCAACCAACUUCAGCAGCAGCUGCUAUACCAAGAGAAUCCACCGCCACUUGAUCAUUACCAAAUGCAAAAUGAACAGGCACAAGGCCACCAACUUCAACAACAACAACAGCUGCCGAAAUUUUGAGCAGCUCCAUGCUGGGAACUUCAACAUUGGAGAGUGAGAACAGAAAUGAGGCAUCGUCAUUCUAUGGAUUUUAUAGGAUUCCUAUUAUCGGAUGAUUAAGUAUCUGUGUUAAUUUAUUAUGUUGUGGUUUGCUUAUUUCAACAGAGAACUUUAGUUUGUUUGUGUUUGGAGUUAAUUUUAAUUUCAGAAGGAUAUAAUAUGAUAUGCUGUAUAUCAGUUAUUAUAAUUUCCAUAAUUGCUUUGAUCGAUGUUGCUUAAAUCUUGGUUUCUGAGGGGCUUAAGUUGGUCUUUGCUCUAUAUAUGUGUGUGUGUGUUCGAAUUUAGAAUUUUAAAGUACGAAAAAGUCUAAGAAAAUUCAUAAACUGUGUGGUUUAUUCGCUUAAAGUUUUAAAUCUCUUAAUCCCCCGGUUUUCAAACUUUUUUAGACUUUUCUCGUCUUUAUAUAUAUAUAGUCAUUCUCUAGUGCAAAUACUCUUAUUUUUUUCUUCAUACAGAUACACUUUUAAACCAUGCGGUUUAAUAGAAUCGAAUUUUAACAUUAUUAAACUGCACGGCUUAACAACGUGUCUGUAUUAAAAAAAAUGAUGGCGUCUGUACCUGAGAAUCAUUAUAUAUAUAUAUAUAAUAUUAAAUUAGUUAUUUGCACGUCAUAAUUUUAGCACUGAUAUAUAUGAAUCAUUUUUUUAUUCUCGCUUUCUUUCUUGAUGAUGUACACAGACAUAUUAGCUAUAAAUAAAUAGGUUGUAAUCAUACUUGUUAAUUAAUAGCUUGCAACAAAGUUCCAAAGUACAGAUUAGUUAAGGCGAACACAAAAAUCAAAUGUUUAAUCACAGUUCCAUUCUUUUUGCUUCUUGUGUACAAUCCUUUUGGUAUAGAUAAAAGUUAUAUUUUAUAUUUUAAAGGUAAUAAUGCUAGAACUACUAACCCUUUUGUACAGGGAUCGGAGUUUGUUGCUCUAUUCUCAAGACAACAACAAUAAUUUAAAAAUAUAUAUAUAAUUUUUGUAAAAAGCACUAGAUUACUCUUCUUAACUUUCCCCAUAGAAAAUAAUAUAUAUGAAAGCAAGUAGCCUUGAGAGCAAAGGCAAGAAUGGAAGCAUUCGUCUUGAGCAUCAUUUCUUUGUUUGUUUGUUCUUUUUUCUUUUGCUUGAUGUGGCUGCUUAAUUUUUUUUUAUCUACAAUCUUCGUAUCUAUUCUUUUCUGUCUCUUAUGGUACACUCUUACAAAUCAACCAUUGGUUUAUGAAAAUCACGGUAUAAUCCAAUUGAUUAUUGCUAAGAAUUGAGCCAAAUAUUAUUGCAAUUUAUCCACAAACAAGCUGGGGAUCGAUCCAGCCGCAUAACAACAUAUAAUAAAACCAUCCUGUAAAUAAAAAGAAAGCUAUUAUAUAAAAGAUGUAAAAAAUGCUAUUAAUCACGGUAUGAACUAGACUAAUAAAUGCUAAUAUCUAAAAAAUUGAUAUCAUUUUGUUAGAAGAUGUGUUUAGGACUGCUGAUGUGGAGUCAUAGAAGUUGCUUCUGUUGAAUGUUUCAAAUUUUUCCUAUUUUUCUGGUGUUGGUUAUUUAUUUUGUUGAUUCUUACUGUGAUCGUGGCACAAUCUUUGGACCAUGAUUCUAGUGGGUUGUUAUUUGGCUUUGGUGUGUUAUUUAAGCUUUAAAGUGUAAUGUUUUCAGUUAAUGAAUUGAGUUAAGUUCUCUUGACAAUUCACGUGGCUUUCAUUUCCAUUUGUAAACUUUGUUUUCUUUUCUUAUUCAAGUAACAACAUCUGGUAUCAGAGCUCUCUUCUUAAGGGAUAUGUGUUUGAAUUUGUCAAGUCAUGGAAGCCGAAGCCAGUUUCUCCGCAAUUGCUCCGACGGUGUUUGACGGAAACAACUACCAGCUUUGGGUAGUACGUAUGGAGACAUACUUGGAAGCUUUGGAUCUUUGGGAAGCAGUGGAAGAAGACUAUGAAAUUCCUGCACUUCCAAACAAUCCCACCAUGGCAUAGAUAAAAGCGCAUAAAGAAAAGAAGACAAAGAAAUCAAGGGCAAAGGCCUGUUUGUUUGCUGCAGUCUCAUCCACCAUAUUCACUCGCAUCAUGUCUUUGAAGUUAGCAAAAGCGAUAUGGGAUUAUCUCAAGAGCAAAUAUGAAGGAGAUGAAAGAAUUAAAGGUAUGCAAGUCCUGAAUUUGAUCAGGGAGUUUGAACUUCAAAGAAUGAAGGACUCCGAGACGAUCAAAGAUUACUCCGACAGACUUCUUAGUAUUGCAAACAAGGUGAGGCUUCUUGGAUCUGAAUUUACUAACUCAAGAAUUGUACAAAAAAUUCUUGUUACAGUACCUGAAAGAUAUGAAGCAACUAUCACUACCUUUGUAAAUACCAAGGAUUUGUCAAAGAUUUCCUUGGCAGAAUUGCUUAACGCAUUACAAGCACCAGACCAAAGAAGACUGAUGAGGGGGGAUACAACAACCGAAGGAGCUUUAGCAGCCAAACAUCAGAACAUGGCCAAAAACAAAACAAAGAAGGACUUUGAAGGAAAUGGGGCAAGUACAGCAUCUGCGAAUGCAAAAGAAAAGAAUGAAAAUCAGAAGAAAUCCUAUCCACCUUGCAAACAUUGCAGAAAGAAGGGUCAUCCUCCGUUUAAAUGAUGGAGAAGACCUGAUGCUAAGUGCACUAAAUGUAAUCAGAUGGGGCAUGAAGCAGUUAUUUGUAAAAAUGAAAAUCAACAUGGUGAAGAGGCAAAGACGGCUGGUCAAGAGGAAGAUGAUCACUUGUUCGUCGCUACAUGUUUCUCUGGCAUCGAAUCAAGUGAGAGUUGGCUUAUUGAUAGUGGUUGUACUAACCACAUGACACAUAACAAGGAUCUAUUCAGGGAACUAAGCAACACAAAAUCGUCAAAGGUUCGAGUUGGAAAUGGCACAUACAUAGCUGUGAAAGGAAAAGGAACAGUUGCAAUCACAACCUUUUCAGGUACAAAGUUCAUUUCUGAUGUGUUGUAUGUCCCUGAAAUUGAUCAAAACUUGUUAAGUGUUGCACAACUAAUUGAAAAGGGUAAUAAAGUUGUGUUCGAAGACAAAGUUUGCUUGAUUAAAGAUGCAGAUGGAAAAGAUAUUUUCAGAGUAAAAAUGAAAGGGAAAAGCUUUGUUCUAAAUCCAUUGGAGGAUGAGCAAAAUGCUUUCCCGAUCAAAGAAAAUAUCACUGAGUUAUGGCACAAGAGGCUCGGGCAUUAUCAUCAUCAAGGGCUGCUGCAUAUGAAAUCCAAGGGGAUGGCAAAUGAUCUUCCAGAACUUGAUGACUAUAUUCAAAAUUGCAAAGCAUGUCAGUUUGGAAAGCAAAGCAGGAGACCAUUUCCCAAGGCAACAUGGAGAGCAACAAAGAAGCUACAAUUAGUUCAUACUGAUAUUGCAGGCCCACAAAGAACGCCUUCUUUGAAUGCUAGUCUUUAUUAUGUUGUAUUCAUUGAUGAUUUCACCCGUAUGUGUUGGAUCUUUUUUUUGAAGCACAAGUCAGAGGUGGCUCAAGUUUUCUGGAACUUUAAAGCUAGAGUUGAGAACGAGAGUGGCUGUAGAAUUCAGACUCUUAGAUCAGACAAUGGCAAGGAAUAUACCUCUGGAGCAUUCAAUCGCUUUUGCGAGGAGGCUGGCAUCUAACAUCAAUUAACCACUCGAUACACUCCACAACAAAAUGAAGUGAGUGAGAGACGAAACAUAUUUAUAUUGGAGAUGACACAAUGUAUGCUACAUGAGAAGAACUUGCCAAAGCAAAUUUGGGCUGAAGCUGCAAGCACAACUGUUUUUUUACAAAACAGGCUUCCCACAAGAGCAGUGAGAGAUAAAACACCCUUUGAGGCUUGGUAUGGCUAUAAACCAUCUCUGAAAUUCCUUGGAAUAUUUGGAUGUCUGUGCUUCACUCUAGGGGUGGGCAAAAUACCCGACCCGAUCCGACCCGAUCCGAUCCGACCCGAAAAAAUUCGAGUUCGGGUCGGUUCGGGUUGUUAUUGAAACCCGAACGGGUGAAAAAUUGCAAACCCGAUCGGGUUGUGAUCGGGUCGGGUAAAACCCGAUCCGAUCCGAAUACCCGAUCGGGUCGCACAAAAAAAAAAUCACUAAACCUAUAAACACAUCACACAUGCACACACCAGACACCAGACACCACACACACAGCCAUGCAAAGUUACAACUCAAAAAGUCACAAAAACAAGUGGCUAAAAAAAUAUUGACAAAUAAAAAACAAAAUAUAAUUAUAACCCACGCACACAGGCCACAGCCACACACAAACAUUGAAACAUAUCUUCGCUGCCUUCACAGCCCUCAUCCCCACAGCCCUCAUCCUUACACUCACGACUUCACACACACACACAAAUAUCGCAAAAGCCAAAAGCAAAGCGGCAGCUAGCAGCCAACGCAGAGAAGAGAACGGAGGAAGCGCAGCCAGCGCAUGCAGCCACCUAACCCGUGACUGGAUCUACUGCUCUGCGACAUCCGUAGCUACCAGAUCUGCUGUUACCGGAUAUCUACAGGAUCUGUUGCUGUUGGAUCCGCUGCGCUGCUAUCGGAUCUGCUGCUGCAGCCUCCACCAUCACCGAAUUCCACCGCGAAGGCGCGACCCGGCAACCCGAAUUCUUUUCUUUUUUUGAUGUUUUGAUGGGAUAUAAUAAUAUAUUAUGUAUUAUCUGUUAAUUGCUAAGUAUAUGUAUUGUUAAAUGUUAAUAAUAAAAUUAGGGAAAUUCUUGUAUGGAAAAUUUUGGAGUUUAAUUUAUUAAGUCUGUGGAAGCUUAAAUAAUAAGUAUGAAUUGAUUUCUUUUGUUUUGUUUUUUUUUUAAUGAAUAGAUUAAGCAGAUUAAGCAUUAAAAUUAAAUAUUUUGCAUUUGAUCUGUGCAGUGUUUCACCCGAUCCGAAUUAACCCGAAUUUAACUCGAUUAUUUGACCCGAUCCGAUCCGAUUCGAAUAUGUUCGGAUCGGGUUACAACUUCGGGUUGAGUUCGGAUGAAUUCUUUUCUAACCCGAUCAACCCAAAAUCCGAUCGGGUUGAUCCGAACCCGACCCGAACCCGACCCAAACCCGAAAAUGCCCACCCCUACUUCACUCAUGUUUCGCAGAUUAGUAGAGACAAACUAGAUAAAAGAGCACUUCCAGGCAUCUUUAUUGGCUACAGCUCCGUUGCAAAAGCUUAUAAAGUUUUCCAGCCACAAAUUGGAAAAAUUAUUAUAAGCAGGGAUGUGCACUUUAUGGAAGAUGAAGAGUGGAAUUAGGAUUAUGCAAAGAAGAUGGAUUCAACCUCAAAAAAGCCAAAACUCAAGUUUCCUGUUAUGGACACAGCAGAUCAAAGCAUUGAAGAUUGGGAAAAUGAAACGGUGGAUGACAGACCUAUCAGGGGCACAAGACCACUUUCAGAUGUUUACCAAAGAUGCAAUGUUGUUGUGUGUGAACCUACAAAUUAUGAAGAAGCCAAGACGGAUCAAAAUUGGGUUACGGCAAUGAAUGAGGAGCUGUUCAUGAUUGAAAAGAAUAAAACAUGGGAGUUGGUUGAUCGACCCCAAAACAUGAAGGUAAUUGGAGUCAAGUGGGUGUACAAAACCAAGCUUAAUGCUGAUGGCUCAAUCAACAAAUAUAAAGUUAGGCUCGUGGUCAAAGGAUUUGCUUAAGUACCUGGCGUGGAUUACUCAGAUACCUUCGUACCAGUCGCUAGACUCGACAUCAUCAGGCUGUUACUAGCUGUUGCAGCACAAAAAAAUUGGAGGGUGUACCAGUUAGAUGUCAAGUCAGCAUUCUUGAAUGGUUUCCUGCAAGAGGAGAUUUACGUAGAGCAACCGGAAGGCUAUGUAAAGGAAGGAGAAGAAGACAAAGUGUAUCUUCUUAAAAAAGCUCUUUACGGCUUGAAGCAAGCUCCAAGAGCUUGGUACAGCAGGAUUGAUGAAUACUUGCGGAACUUGGGAUUUGUUAAAAGCUUAUCUGAAUCAACAUUAUAUGUCAAGCACAAUGGUGCUGACAUUCUUAUCAUCUCAUUAUAUGUGGAUGAUCUGCUCGUGACAGGAAAUAAAAAGUGUGUUGUGGAGGAGUUUAAGCAAGAAAUGAUGGAGAUUUUUGAGAUGACAGAUCUCGAAUUAAUGACGUUCUUUCUUGGAAUGGAAAUUAAACAAAAUGAAAAUGAAGUCUUCAUCUGUCAGAAGAAAUAUGCCAGGGAAAUUCUGAAAAAGUUUAAACUUGAAGAAUGCAAAGAAAUGAGCACUCCAAUGAACUCAAAGGAGAAGCUCUGUAAAGAAGAUGGAACAGAGAAGGUUGAUCAAGCAUAUUUCAGAAGCUUAAUUGGUUGCUUGAUGUAUCUCACAGCAACUCGACCUGACAUUUUGAAUGCUGUAAGCAUUUUGUCUCGGUUUAUGCACUGUGCUAGUGAAUGGCAUCUCAAAGCUGCAAAAAGGGUGCUUAGAUAUGUGAAGGGCACAUGUAAUUUUGGCAUUAAAUUUACAAGGAGCAAAGAGUUCAAAUUGUUUGGUUACUCAGAUAGCGAUUGGGGAGGUUCCAUUGAUGAUAUGAAAAGCACUUCAGGCUACUGUUUCACACUUGGUUAUGGUGUUUUCUCUUGGAGCUGGAAAAAACAAGAAAUUGUAGCUCAAUCCACUGCUGAAGCAGAAUUUGUUGCUGCAACGGCUGCUGUCAAUCAAGCUUUGUGGCUGAGGAAGAUUUUAAUUGUUCUUAACCUGGAGCAGGAGGAAAGUACAGAGAUUCUAGUUGACAACCAAGCUGCUAUUACAAUAUCUCAAAAUCCUGUGUUUCACGGGAAAACUAAGCACUUUAAUAUUAAAUUAUUCUUCUUAAGAGAAGUGCAGAAAAAUGGAGUUGUUAGUCUUGUCUACUGCAAAACAGAAGAUCAGGUUGCAGAUGUUUUCACCAAGCCACUGCCGGUUAGCAAGUUUGAGUUUUUCAGAACAAAACUUGGUGUUUGCAACUCCUAAAGCAAGGAGGAGUGUUAGAAGAUGUGUUUAGGACUGCUGAUGUGGAGUCAUAGAAGCUGCUUCUGUUGAAUGUUUCAAACUUUUCCUAUUUUUCUGGUGUUGGUUAUUUAUUUUGUUGAUUCUUGUUGUGAUCGUGGCACAAUCUUUGGACCAUGAUUCUAGUGGAUUGUUAUUUGGCUUUGGUGUGUUAUUUAAGCUUUAAAGUGUAAUGUUUUCAGUUAAUGAAUUGAGUGAAGUUCUCUUGACAAUUCACGUGGCUUUCAUUUCCAUUUGUAAACUUAUAAGACAUUUUAGUAAUAUUAUUAAAAUGGAUUUAAUAAACAACGCACAAUAGAUAAUUACUGAACUACAAGCAAGUUUAUAUAAUUUUCUGAUAAAUCGUGUAGGAAGAAUGCAAUUAGCUAAAGAAAGAGAAAUUAAGGUUUGGUGCAUUGGUUCACUUGAUUAAAGAUUUGAUACAUGGGCUAUGAACAGGCAGAAUUUAUGGGCAUUCUUUCUUUAAGUACUUUUUGUUCUUUAUCUUUUGCUUUAUAUUAAUUUGUUGACAUUUUACUCUUUCUUUGUCCGAUUGCAAUCUUUGUUCUGUUAUUAUGCUUUUCUUUUUCUUAUAAUUCACACUUUGACACAAAACCAUCAAUCUGUUCGUCAGCCUCAAGUAUAUAUCUGCAUGUUGAUGUGCAAUAUUGCAAUUGAUUGCUUUCUUUCCCUUUCAUUUGUAUAUACAUCCUUCAUCCUUAACAUCAGAAAACAAGUUGAAUAUGGCCACAGAAACUGUUGCUUCAGUUACCCAGCCUAUUACGGAGAGGAUUGUUGACGUGUUGUUCAAUGCAACAGUCCGUCAGUUUGGUUACUUGUGUAAGUACAAACACUACAUUGAAGCGUUGAGGACGGAAGCAAAGAAGCUCACAGAUAGAAGAAAUGACUUGCAAGCGGAAAUUGAUGCUGCAACAAGAAAUAGAGAAGUUAUUAAAGAUGAGGUUAAAAGCUGGAUAGCAGAAGUCAAUGAUAUCAUUCCAAAAGCGGAAAAGUUUUUGGAGGAUGAAGUGAAAGUAAACAAGAAAUGCCUAGGCGGGUUGUGCGUUGAUCUCAAAUCACGUUACAAACUCAGCAGAGAGGCAGAGGAGAAGACUCUGGCAAUGUCUGCUCUCAUGGCUGUUGGUAAUUUUGGAAAAGGUGUGUCUCGUCCUGCUCCUCCACCAGCAAUAAUAUCUUCGUCUGAAGGAGUCUACGCUUUCAAAUCCAGGGAAUCAACAAUGAAGGAUAUAAUGGAGGCAAUGAAGGAUGAAAAUGUCAGCAUAACUGGAAUAUGUGGAAUGGGCGGUGUGGGGAAGACCACACUAGUCAAGGAAAUUCAGAAGCAAGCAAAAGAAAUGAAGAUGUUUGAUGAUGUAGCGAUGGCCGUUGUGUCUCAAACUCCAAGCAUUACCAAGAUUCAAUAUGAGAUUGCUGGAUGGUUAGGUCUUAAAAAUCUGCCUGACAAUGACGAGUCAGCAAGAGCUAGUCUUUUGUGGGAAAGAAUCAAAGAGAGGCAGAGAGUGCUUGUCAUAUUGGACGACUUAUGGGGGCGAAUAAAAUUGUCUGAGGUUGGUAUUCCUUACGGAAAGGAUCACAGCGGCUGUAAUAUUUUGCUCACGUCUCGAUCACGUACUGUCUGCAAUCAAAUGAAUGCGCACAAAAUUGUUGAAGUCGGAACUUUAACGAAAGAGGAAUCUUGGAGCCUUUUCAGGGAGGUAGCUGGUCCAGAAGUUGAUAAUCUUGAAAUAAACCCGACUGCAAGAGAGGUGGCUGACGGGUGCGGUGGCUUGCCAAUUGCGAUUCUCACAAUAGGAACAGCGCCGAAGGAUAGAGACAAGCAUGUUUGGAAAGAUGCAGCUGAUCAACUCAAAAGUUCCGCCCCAACGAACAUCGAAGGGAUGGAAGAGUUUGUAGUUUCACGCGUGGAGCUGAGCUACAAUUAUCUGAAAAGCGAGGAGGCAAAAUCAAUCUUCCGACUCUGCAGCUGCUUUCCAGAAGAUUACGAUAUUCCAAUUGAAGUGUUGGCGAGAUACGGAUGGGGUUUGAGGUGCUUACAAAACGUCGAUUCAGUGGAGAAGGCCAGAGGCAGAGCACGUAGUGCUGUAAGUACCCUUAUCUUUUCUUAUUUGUUAAUUGAUGGUGGGAAGGAAGGGUUUGUUAAGAUGCAUGACGUUGUGCGUUAUGUUGCACAACAAAUAGCGUCUAAAAAUAAGUUCUUGAUUAAGGCCAGCGUCGGGCUAAAAGACUGGCCAAGCAUAAAUACAUUUGAAGAUCUCACUGGAAUCUCAUUGAUGUUCAAUGAUAUCCAUGAGGUACCUGAUGAGUUGGAGUGUCCAAAGCUCCAAGCUUUAUUCCUGCAGGAAAAUUCUCCCUUAGCUAUUCCUGACAGAUUUUUUCAAGGGAUGAAAGAUCUGCAAGUUUUAGACUUGGGUGGAAUCCGAAGGUUUUCAUUUUCUGUGCGUUUUCCGUUUUUGUUUCCACCACUGCCUUCCUCACCUUUGUUUUUACUGCCUUCCUCACUUUCAUUCCUUAUUAACCUUAGAACUUUACGUCUUCAUGAUCGCCGUAUCCAGGGUGACCUAUCUUUAAUCGGGGAGUUAAGUGGUUUAGAGAUUCUUGAUCUUUCAGAAUCUGAUGUAAGUGAAAUUCCGGUCAGUUUUGGCCGAUUGAGUCAUCUAAGAUUGUUAGAUUUGACCGGCUGUUACAUCCUAGAACUAAUACCCCGAGGUGUCCUGUCUAGGCUUCGUAAGUUAGAGGAGUUAUACAUGUCACACAGUUUUAGGCACUGGCAAUUUGAGAGUGAGAGUGAAGAAGAUUCAAGCAGUAAUGCCAAAUUCAUUGAGUUAGGAGCCUUGAGUCGACUCACUAGUUUGCAUAUUCACAUCCCGGAAGGCAAAAUCAUGCCUUCUGAUAUGUCCUUCCAAAAUCUGACAAGCUUUUCGAUUGCAAUUGGCGACCUUGAGGAGCGCCCUCUCAGUGAUUUUAUAGGACUAUUUUUGCAAAAAUUUAAGAAGAGAUGCUCGAGAGCAAUGGGACUUUCACAGGACAUGAGGAUUUCAGCGCUACAUUCUUGGAUUAAGAAUUUGCUGCUCAGAUCAGAGAUUCUUGCUUUGGCAGAAGUCAACUAUUUCGAGAAUAUAGUCUCGGACCUUGCUAAUGAUGGCUUUAACGAAUUGAUGUUUCUAGUUAUUUUCCGCUGCAAUGAGAUGAAAUAUCUCUUGAACUCAUUGGAAAGGACACUACGAGUAACUCUCCACAAGUUAGAAUGGUUGUUUAUACGUGAAAAUCAGAACUUUGUUGAAAUAUGCCACGGUCAACUCCCAGCCGGCUGCUUGAGCAAUGUAAAAAGGUCAGAUGUGGUAGAUUGUGGCAGUAUAUUGAAAAUUUUACUAAGUCAUUUGGUACAAAGCUUUCAAAAUCUUCAACGUUUGAGGGUAUAUAGUUGUGGGCUGCUGGUGUCUGUAUUCGAAAUUGAAAGGGUUAAUAUUGCAAAAGAAGAAACUGAGUUGUUUUCGUCAUUAGAGAAACUGACUCUGUGGGACCUGCCUCGGAUGACAGACAUAUGGAAAGGUGACACUCAAUUUGUAAGUCUCCAUAACCUGAAGAAAGUAAGAGUGGAAGAGUGCGAUGAGUUGAGACAAGUAUUUCCGGCAAAUUUUGGGAAGAAAGCAGCAGCAGAGGAGAUGGUACUGUACAGGAAAAGAAGAGAUCAGAUUCACAUUCACGCCACAACCUCAACCUCCUCUCCGACUCCGAGUUUGGGAAACCUGGUUUCUAUUACAAUUCGGGGAUGUGGGAAAUUACGAAACCUCUUCACAACCUCCAUGGUCAAAAGCCUGGUGCGACUUGAAAGCCUAGAAGUAAGAAGCUGCCCAACACUGCAAGAAAUAAUCAUGGAUGAUGAAGGAGAAGUGGGACUGCAGGGAGCAUCAACAAAGAAGAUCACGUUUCCAAGUUUGUUCGGCAUAAAACUCUGUGAUCUAGACAGCCUUGCUUGUUUCUGCUCGACAGGUUUACAUCACUUUUAAAUAAUUGACUGUCCAGGCAUGAAGACCUUUGGUUAUGGUGACCAACUGACACCCAAGCUGCUGAAAGGUGUGGAGUUAGAAAUUGGUGAAUAUCGCUGGACGGGUAACCUUAACCACACCAUUACCCAAUACGUACAAUGAAGAGGUACAUCAAGUUAGCAAUUGCAUGCUUGUUAAAUUCCUUGGUUUUUUUUUUUUUUUUUUAAUUUUAAUUGUAUUUGUAUGUGGUGGUAAAAUGAUUUUCUACAUCUGCUUAUACUAGCACACCAUUUUAAUUUUGUUUUUCAUUUGGGGCAGAAAAUCAGGGAAAAACAAGCAAUGGAGUCGGGAAUUUCAUCUGAGACUACUUCCUCUUACACUGAGAAUUGAUUGUAUAAAACAAACGGUAUGCAUGCGUAAAAUUUUACUAAAUUCCCUAGAUUUUGUCACAUAUUUAUCCUUUGACAUUGCUCUAACUAAUUCAAAUACUUGAUUUGUUUUCAGAACCAUCAUGUAAGGAGCGUUGACAGGUUCGCAUACAUCACCAGUUUAUUGAAUUUCAUUCUUCUUUUUCAUGUCUUAUAUAUUAUAUGUACAAAAGAAUUUCAUGCAUUUUCUUCCUUUGGGAUUGUGCAUGAUGUUAUUUAUUCUGGUUUCAAUCUCUCAGGUAUGCCAAGCCCAGAUGCCAGAUUGCUUGGGAUGUUAAAAUAAUAAUUACUUUAGUUAGUGGAGCUGCCUGCAAAAAUUUGGUAUCCAUAAUGUAUGUUGUUUGUUUAGAUAUUAAACAGUUAGAGUUUGUUAAUCAUAGACGUAUUCUCAAUGUGCUAAGUAUCGGCAGGGAACUGCUGAGUUCAAUUCUGAAAAAUAAAUGUAAUUUGGUAUUACAAGUGAGAAAAAUAAUUGUGAAUUCUUAUUUCUUUUGUUCGCACUUGGUUACUAGUCAAUUUAAGAGAUACCUUAAUGAUAUUCUCUUCUUCUAUUUCUUCUAUUCUUAAAUUGUUGUUCAUAAUUAAAAAAUAAAUAAAAUUAUUUGAUAUCCUAGUAACCUACUUUUAGAGCCUGCUAAUUUAGUUGCAGCUUUGCAGUAUUGAGUUACUGAAUUAAAAAUAUUAGAUUUUCCCUCUUUCCAGAUCAAUGCAUGCUAAUGCAACAUUGCUUUUGCUUGCUGGCAAUAGAACAGGCUGCCAAUGGAACACAAAUUUAUAAGUUUCGGAAUAAAGUUUUCAUUAAUUAAUAAAAAGCUGAAUGACAAUUUCCUAGUAACAUAUGCCGAAUCUGGAGCCACAUUCUCUUGGUAACCAUUUUUCCAAAGUUCAAAAGCUUCUCUGCUAGUUGUGCCCAAUCCUGUCUCAAGCCAAUCUCAGAAAUAACCUCUGAGAAGAUGCCCUGCCAUCAGAAUUCAAUCAAGGGCCUUCAGGAUUUAGCUGACAGAUGCUUGAAGCAAAAUUUUAACUUCAGCAGCAGCUGAACCCAGAAAAUCCACAGCCAUUUGAUCAUUAUCAAAUGCAAAAUGAACAGGCACAAGGAAAAAAACAGGUACCAGAAUUUGAGCAGCAGCUCCGUGGUUGCCGGUGGGAGCUUCACUAAUGGAGUGUGAGCACAGAAAUUGAGCCAUCAUCAUUCUGAGUUCCGAAGAGUUUAUUGUGUUUCUAUUAUGAGUUGAUUUAGUGUUUUGACUAUGUUCUGGUUUUGAGUUGAAUGAUUAUUUCAACAUAACUUUGUCUUGAACAGAUUGUGUUUGGAGUAAAAUUCUCAUAAAAGGGCUGACAGUGACAAGUUCUGUACGUUCCCGAAGGAAGAUUCACCGUAUAUAUUAUUGGCCUUAUGAAGAGAAGCAAGGCUCUGCAGGUUGAGCAAUUGGUGUUGGUUUUGUGACCAAUUGCCAUGAUGAUGAUCAGUAUCAUCAAUAUUAUCCCGCACAUUAAGCCUGCCCAUGCCUCGGUUGCAUCAUGCCAAUCAUUAUUUAUCAUCAUCAGUCUGCGUGAUGGGCUCUGCAACACCACCAUACUCCUCUAGUGCCAUUGUAAUAUCACAAAGCAAGAAGUUGAAACCUGCUGCUGAUGAGCUCUGCAACAUCACCGUACUCCUCUGAUGCCAUUGUAAUAUCACAAAACAAGAAGUUAAAAUGUAGAAAAUGUUUAAAAUCAAAUAAAAUUUGAACCAAAAAAAAAAAACCACCGAAAGAUUGCACUCACAGUUUUGCGGAAGAAAUUUCCACACUUAAAACGAACAAAAGAGGUAACAGAAAACACGCAUUCUACUAGGAUAAGGAAACCUCGGUUAGUUUUAUAAUAUUAAAUUACUACUAAAACAAUGUGUUUUUGUGUUUAAUAAGAAAAAUUAAAAUUGAGUUGAAUCUUGUCCAUCCAAUAAUUUAAAUAACACACGUCAAAAUGUCUUUAAAACAUUAGGAAAGAUUAGAGUAUGAAGGAAACUGGAUCCAACUAUUGGGAUAAUUAGUAAUAAAUUUACAAUCAGAAUUAAUCUUUACAAAUUGUUUAAAACUGCACCUCAUAUAUAUUUAGACUCCAUUUGAUAUAGCCUCUGAAAUACAUUUUAUUUAAAUAGAACUUUUACAAAUAGAGUUUUUAUUUAAAAAAAAUUAGUUGCUUGGUUGUUAAUAAGAGUUUUUAUUAAAAAUUAUAAAAUUAUCAAAGUUUAAAGUUAUGUUAUAAAAAAAUAAAAUAAUAAUAUAAAACAAAUAAUGAGCAUUUUAGACAAUUGAACUUUCUAAGAAAAAAAAAACUUUGUAACCUCUAGCCCUAAAAACUCAAAAUUUGAGCUUUUUUUAAUGGAGGUAAAAUACUAUUUAUUUCACUCUCAAAAGCUCAAUUAAAAUAAAAUAAAAAACCAAACAACAAAAAAUAAAUAAAAAAUUUAGAAAGAACUUAUAUACAUUAGAUAAGUCAUUCAAGCAGGCAUUUAAAAGGAAAAAAAAUAUUCAGUUAAAACUCAACUCAAAGUAUCAAGUUUAACUUAAAAGCUAGGGCUAAUGGGUUGAGCCCUCGCUAGCUCAUGGUACAAUUACAAACUUUUAAAAUACGAUUUAUAUAAAUGAAAUUAAUUUAACAUUUAUGUGAUAAAAGAUUAAGAAAUCUUUAGUCAAAUAAGAAAACUAAUAUAUGCGAUUUUUAUGGGAAAACAAAUUGGUGGAAAGAAUCUCAAUUUCGCAUAAUUAAUUUUAUUUUCAAUAUUAUAUUAUAUUAAUAAUUUUUGUCAAAAUUAUUAUUUAUUUAAUGUGAAAACAAAUGCAUGGUAUAAUAUUUAUUCUAUUACUUAAAUUUAAAAUUAUAAAGAAUAAAACUUAAAUCUAAAAUUGUAAAGAAUGAAUAAUAACUUAAAUUAAUAGAUUAUGGGAGGAUACCUUUCAAAAAAAAUAAAAUUAACUAACUUUUUAGGCUUCUAACGUAACAUUUUUAUUUUUUGUUGUUAACAUAAGACAAAAAUUUAGUCUAAAAAACUCAUUCUAGGGUCUUCUUAGGGUAAAAAAAAAUCAUUAUCACAUGAUAAUUUAGCCUAAGUUGUAUUAUUUUUAAUUUACUUAUUCAUCCCAAACACCUUAUUGAAAUUAAAUUUUAGUAAAGUAAACCCAUCCCACCAUCUUUAAUCGCAUUCAGUAGGCACUAAUUGAUUAGAUCUUGUUAUAGAAAGUAAUAUAUAACUCUUUCUUUAUUACAAUGCUAAAAAAAAAAAACAUAAACACAAUAUAUUUCUUUUGAGAAAAUGCAAGUAUUAUGUUUUUUAGGUUUUGUGUUUAAGAAAUUAAUCUAAUUUAUGUAGUUAUAAGACUCUUAUUUUUUUAUGUUUUAGAAGAAUUAUAUGUUUGAUAAUGAAUAAAUUAAGAUUUAAAGUAGGACAAACUAAUUUUAGAGGGAGAUAGAGAAAAUAAUUUUUUUAGAAUUCGAAAAUUAUUAUAUUUUAAUUGGGGCUUAUUACAUAAAAUUAUUAAAACAUAUGGUUUUUAUUAUUUAUAGAAAACAAUAGGAAUUGCUAAAGAAAACACUAAAUAAUUUUUUUAAAUUUGAAAUUAUUAUAUUUUAAUUGGGGCUUAUUGCAUAAAAUUUACAAAAAUUAUAAUUUCAAUUAUUUACAGGAAACAAUAGUGACUGUUAAAUAAAUAUCAAAUUUGGGGGUUUGGUACAACGGUUGCAAAGUAGUUUUGUCCUCCUUUUCAUUAAUAGAGAAUUAUCUCCUCAAUUAUUGAUUGGGGUUUGUACCCUCUCUUUUUUUUUAAAUAUUUAAUUUUCGACACUUUACUCUUUCUUUGUCCGAUUACAAUUUUUGUUCUGUUGUGAUGCUCUUCUUUUUCUUAGAGUACAUACUUUGACACAAGACCAGUAAUCUGCUCAUCAAUCUCAAGCGUGUAUUAUUGCAAUUGAUUGCUUUCUCACCCCUUCAUUAACCCAGAAAAUACAUACAUCCUAGCCUAAAUUACUGUCUGCUCAUUACCUUUUAUACCAUUAUUCCUUCGUCCUUAACCUCAGAAAACAAGUUGAAUAUGGCCGCGGAAACUGUUGCUUCAGUUACCCAGCCUAUUACGGAGAAGAUUGUUGACGUGUUGUUCAAUGCAACAGUCCGUCAGUUUGGUUACUUGUGUAAGUACAAACACUACAUUGAAGCGUUGAGGACGGAAGCAAAGAAGCUUACAGAUACAAGAAAUGACUUGCAAGCGGAAAUUGAUGCUGCAACAAGAAAUGGAGAAGCUAUUAAGGAUGAGGUUCAAAGAUGGCCAGACAAAGUUGAUGAGAUCAUUCCAACAGCUGAAAAGUUUUUGGAGGAUGAAGUGAAAGUAAACAAGACAUGCCUUGGCGGGUUGUGCGUUGAUCUCAAAUCACGCUACAAACUCAGCAGAGAGGCAGAGGAGAAGAUUCUGGCAAUUUCCGCUCUCAUAGCUGCUGGUAAUUUUGGAAAAGAUGUGUCUCGUCCUGCCCCUCCACCAGCAAUAAUAUCUUUGUCUGAAGGAUUCUACAAUUUCAAAUCCAGGGAAUCAACAAUGAAGGAUAUAAUGGAGGCCAUGAAGGAUGAAAAAGUCAGCAUAAUUGGAAUAUGCGGAAGGGGGGGUAUCGGGAAGACCACACUAGUCAAGGAAAUUCAGAAGCAAGCAAAAGAAAAGAAGAUGUUUGAUGAAGUAGCGAUGGCCGUUGUGUCUCAAACUCCAAGCAUUACCAAGAUUCAAGAUGAGAUUGCUGGCUGGUUAGGUAUUAAAGAACUGCCUGACAAUGACGAGUUAGUAAGAGCUAGUCUUUUGUGCAAAAGAAUUGAGAAGCAGAGAGUGCUUGUCAUAUUGGACGACUUAUGGGUGCAGAUAGAAUUGGAUAGGGUUGGUAUUCCUUACGGAAAUGAUGGCUGUAAAUUUUUGCUCACAUCUCGAUCACGUGCUGCCUGCAAUCAAAUGCAAGCUCAUAUUGUUGAUGUCAGAACUUUAACAGAAGAGGAAUCUUGGAGGAGUGCUGAAGGAAAGAGACGAGUAUGUUUGGAAAGAUGCAGCCUAACAACUUAAAAGUUCCACCCCAACGAACAUCGAAGGGAUGGAAGAGUUUGUAGUUUCACGCGUGGAACUGAUCUACAAUUAUCUGAAAAGCGCGGAGGCAAAAUCAAUCUUCCGACUCUGUAGCUGCUUUCCAGAAGAUUACAAUAUUCCAAUUGAAGUGUUGGCGAGAUACGGAUAGGGUUUGAGGUGCUUACAAAACGUCGAUUCAGUGGAGAAGGCCAGAUGCAGAGUACGUAGUGCUGUAAGCUAUGACGAGGAGGAAGGGUGUGCUAAAAUGCAUGACGUUGUACGCUAUGUUGCACAACAAAUAGCAUCUUGUUAGUGAUAUCGAAAGCAGAGCACAGAUUCAGGGUAUGACUGACUGCAGCUGAUUAGCUCAUGAAAGCUGACUUGGCAAGUUAGUUAUCCAGCUCAUCUCACACAGCUGAAAUAUAACGAACUGAGUGAAUUGUUGAGUCGGUUUUAGCUUGCUAUAUAAACGUGUAUUUUGCACUCAGAUGUAAGGUUAAGAAACAUCAAUAAAAUCACAGAUUCGUUUUCACUUUCCUUUUUCAUUUUCUUAAGCUUUCUAGUUAACCAAACAACUAUUUUCUAUAGUUUUGUCAUGGUAUCAGAGCUACGGAUGACGAAUAUAAAUCAAAACAAUCUUUCCUUCAGCUUUGUUACACCAAUUAAGUUGGAUCAGAAUAAUUUCAUUCUUUGGCGCACGCAAGUUCUUACAACGGUGAAAGGAAAUGGAUUGGAAGGUUUUAUUAAUGGCGAUAACAAAUGUCCAGAACAGUUUCUCAUCUCUGAGAGUGAUAUUGAGAGUGUAGUAUCAACUGGAAGCUCAAGAUCUAUAAACUCUGAGUUUGUAGCUUGGAUGAAGACUGACCAGCUACUGUUGAGUUGGAUGAUGUCAUCGAUCCAGCAAAAUCUGCUCUCUACAGUGAUCGAUUGUACAACAUCUAAGCAACUCUGGGAGACUCUUACUGGUAUGUUUAUCUCCCAAUCUCAGGCUCGAAUCCAAACACUGAGAAUGCAAAUCCAAACCAUUAAGAAAGGUUCAAUGCAUAUGGCUGACUAUUUUGCUAAAGUUAAACGAAUAGCAGACACUUUAGCUUUAGCUGGUAAACCAGUAGAGUUAGGCGAUUUGAUUAUGCAUGUCUUGAUUGGUCUUGACUCAUUUGACUGUGAAUCUUUAGUGACUGCUGUCUUGGCUAGAGGUGACAAGAUAACACUGGAUGAAUUAUAUUCCUUGUUAUUGAAUCAUGAAAUUAGAAUUGAACAGAAGAGAGGGAAAAUUACUAGUGAUGUGAUGCAUAAUAUGACAGCUAAUGUUGCUCAAAGAAAUACAUAUUCUGGUAAAAAUAAUGGUGGUUUUCAAAAGAAUUAUGGAGGAAAUUUUGGAAAUGGAAACAAUUCAGGUUUCGGUGGUUUUAAUAGUGGUGCUUCUGGUAAUAGUUCUGGUAAUGGUGGUGGUGCUUUUAAUGGAAAUAACUUCUCUGAUGUUGUUUGUCAAAUAUGCUACAUACCUGGACAUGGAGCUUAUAAGUGCAGAAACAGAUACAACUCAUCAUUUGUGCCUCAGAAAAACUAUGGUAGAGGCAACUUUGAUAGUGGUUUUAGACCUCCUGGACAAUUUGGAAAAGGUAGAUUUUUUAAUGGUGGUGGUAGAGGCCCUGGACAAUUCAACAACAAUUAUAAUUCACCAAGAGGUUUUGGUUUUCAAGGUGGUUCUGGUUUUCAGGGUAACAUAGUGCAUGCAGAAAAUUCCUUUAGCACUCCAUCUGCAUUUUACUCUUUUACUCCUGGUUCAUCAACAUAUGCUCCAACUGAAAACCCUGACAAUAGUGGUCAAUACAAUGCCUCUACUUCAUCUUCUCUGCCUCCAUCAAAUCCAAAUGUGUCCCCUGAGCUUGUUGAAGAUCCCUCAUGGUACUUUGACAGUGGAGCAACAAACUACAUCACCAAUGAUUUAGGUAAGCUUCUUUAUUCACAAGCUUAUACUAGUGAGGAAAAAUUAUUUGUUGAAAAUGGAAAUGCAUUGGUUAUUAAUCAUAUAGGAUCAGCAAUACUUACAACUUCAACUUCGAAACCUUUAUUGCUUAAUCAUGUCCUUUAUGUACCAAACAUAACCAAAAACUUGCUUAGUAUUUCAAAACUUGUGGCUGAUAAUUUUGUUGCUGUUGAAUUUCUUGAUAAUUGAUGCUUUGUCAAGGCCAUGGACACAGGAAUAACUUUACUUGAAGGUGUUGCUAAGGGUGGCUUGUAUCAAGUCAAAAACAUCUUUUCUCAGUCAUCUCAGUCAGCUAUUUUCAACUCAGACAGUUUCAAUAAACCUGAAUCUCUUUUUGCUUCUUGUGCUAUGUCUCAUGUCAAUAAACCAGAAGUUGUAAAAGCCUCUGAAACAAGUUUUCAGUUUGUUUUUUCUGCAGUUGCACUGCAAUCGGUUAGUAUGGAUGUUUUUCAUAGGAGACUUGGGCAUCCAGCACCUUAUGUUCUCAAAACAAUAUUCAAAGCUUGUAAUGAUUCUGCUGUUUUUAAUAAGAUUGAAAAAUUGUCUUUCUGUAAUGCUUGUCAAUAUGGCAAAAAUCACAUGCUUCACUUCAAUUCAGUAGAAACCAAAACAACAUUACCUCUACAACUGAUUUAUGCUGAUCUUUGGGGGCCUUCUCACACUUUUUCUACUCAGGGAUACAAAUACUAUCUUUCCAUCCUUGAUGACUUUAGUAGAUUUACAUGGAUAUUUCCCUUAUCUGCAAAAUCAGAUGCCAUUGAAGUCUUUUCAAACUUUAAACUCUUCAUAGAAAACCAUUUGCAGCACAAAAUUAAAACUGUUCAAACUGACUGGGGAGGGGAAUUCAGAACCUUUACCUCUUUACUCAAAGCUUCUGGCAUACAUUUUCGACACCCCUGCCCACAUAUACAUCAUCAAAAUAGGAGAAUUGAAAGGAAACACAGACACAUAGUUGACAUUGGCUUAACCCUACUAGCUCAAGCUCACUUGCCUCUUAAGUUUUGGUGGAAUGCUUUUCACACAGUUGUCUACCUAAUCAAUAGACUUCAUACUCCAGUUUUAAAUAACAUUUCACCUUUUCAAAAAUUGUUUAAUCAAACACCAAACUAUUCCUUUCUCAGAACCUUUGGUUGUGCCUGUUAUCCAGCCUUAAGACCAUACAAUAAACACAAGUUGGAUUUCAGAACUUGCAGGUGUAUAUUCCUUGGUUAUAGCUCUUAUCAUAAGGGUUAUUUGUGUCUUCAUUCUUCAGGACGAGUUUAUACAUCCAACCAUGUUGUUUUUUAUGAAAGUUCUUUUCCUUAUGUUUCUGGUUUAGAUUUUUCAUCUCUAGAUAAAUGUCAGUCUCCAGUUUCUUUCUCAGAGUCAUCUUUCUCUUCUUUCUCUUCUUCUUCUGUUCCUUCCUUUGUUCAUCUAUAGGUUCCUUUAGCAACAUCAUCAACAAGUAUUCCUGAUGCCUCACAAAUACACAUAAACCAAGAUUCUUCUCCUUCCUUACCUACUGAAUCAUUCAGUCCCUCCACACAUCAUUCACCAGCUCAUACACUACCUUUAUCUCAAUCCACUGGUCAUCAAAUGAUAACCAGGUCAAAAGCUAGCAUCUUCAAACCAAAAGCUUAUUUGUCAGCUCUAUUAGCUCAGCCUUCUGAACCUCUUUCAACAUCUCAAGCCCUUGCUGAUCCUAUGUGGUUCAAAGCUAUGCAAGAAGAAUUUCAGGCUCUUCAAAGCAAUAAGACAUGGGAAUUGGUGUUGCCUGAUACACCUGUUAAAAUAGUUGGAAAUAAGUGGGUUUUCAGAAUCAAAUACAACUCUGAUGGAUCUAUUUCAAGAUAUAAGGCUCGAUUGGUUGCUAAGGGGUUUCAUCAAACCCAAGGAGUUGAUUACACUGAAAUUUUUAGUCCAGUGGUUAAAGCCUCAACAGUAAGGGUAAUUCUCAGUUUAGCAGUUCUUAACAAAUGAGUGAUUCGACAAGUGGAUGUCAACAAUGCCUUUCUCAAUGGCAUUUUAGUUGAGGAAGUGUAUAUGGCACAACUUGAGGGUUUUGUGAACUCUGCUAAACCUCAUCACAAUUGCAAGUUACAGAAAGCUAUAUAUGGCCUGAAACAAGCUCCUAGGGCUUGGUUUGAUAGAUUCAAAGAUGCAAUGAUAACUCAGUGGCAGUUUCAGCACUCCAAAUCAGACAGCUCUCUCUUCUAUAAGUGGAUAAAUGGUCAUGUAAUUUUGGUUCUGGUUUAUGUAGAUGACAUCAUUCUCACUGGUUCCAAUCCUCAGCUAAUUCAACAAGUGAUUCAACACAUGCAUCACACGUUUGCUUUAAAAGAUUUGGGGGAUCUUAAUUACUUCCUUGGAAUUGAAGUAGUUAAGUCAGCAACUGGUCUCUAUCUAUCUCAAGCAAAGUACAUUGCUGAUAUUUUGGCAAAACAUGAUAUGGUUUAUAGCAGUCCAGUCUCUACACCUAUGUUUACUAGUCAAUAUCUUACAAAGGAUUCAGGUGAUAUCAUUCGGAAUGUGUCUCAAUACAGAAGUAUUGUAGGUGCCUUACAAUAUGUUACCCUUACACGACCUGAUAUAGCCUAUUCAGUUAAUAAGCUUAGUCAAUUCCUUUCCAAUCCACGUACUUCACAUUGGGAUGCUUGUAAAAGGUUGCUGAGAUACUUGAAAGGAACCUUACAUCUUGGACUGCAUUUUCACAUGACUGGAGCACUUCAACUACAUUGCUUCACAGACUCUGAUUGGGCUUCUGAUCGAGAUGACAGGAAGUCAGUAGCUGGUUAUGCAGUCUAUCUCGGUCCAAACUUAGUCUCUUAGUCAUCCAAGAAGCAAGCAGUGGUAUCAAGGUCAAGCACAGAAGCAGAAUACAGAGCUUUGGCCCAUGCUACUUCAGAAGUGAUAUGGAUACAAUCUCUUCUUCAAGAGCUGCAAAUCAAACUUAGUACUACUCCAAUGAUGUGGUGUGAUAAUCAAGGGGCUAUUGCUCGCGCAUACAAUCCUGUCUAUCAUGCAAAAACAAAGCAUGUUGAGCUGGAUAUUCACUUCAUCAGAGACAAGGUUGCAGCUAAGAGUAUUGAAGUUAGUUAUGUGCCUAGUGAUGAUCAGUCAGCUGAUAUAUUAACUAAAGCACUUUCAUUCAAGCAGUUUGAUUAUCUGUGACACAAGCUGAAUGUCUAUCCUGGACAUUUCAGCUUGAGGGGGGAUGUUAGUGAUAUCGAAAGCAGAGCACAGAUGCAGGGUAUGACUGACUGCAGCUGAUUAGCUCAUGAAAGCUGACUUGGCAAGUUAGUUAUCCAGCUCAUCUCACACAACUGAAAUAUAACGAACUGAGUGAAUUGUUGAGUCGGUUUUAGCUUGCUAUAUAAACGUGUAUUUUGCACUCAGAUGUAAGGUUAAGAAACAUCAAUAAAAUCACAGAUUCGUUUUCACUUUCCUUUUUCAUUUUCUUAAGCUUUCUAGUUAACCAAACAACUCUUUUCUAUAGUUUUGUCACAUCUAAAAAUAAGUUCAUGAUUAAGGCCGGCGUAGAGCUAAAAGACUGGCCAAGCAUAAAUACAUUUGAAGAUCUCUGAUACAACUUUGCCCGAGAUUAAUAACAAAUCAGCACUUGAAACAGAGGAAGAAACCCAGCUGGUCGAGGAGCCCAUAAAAGGUCCUGCUCGUAUGCGCAGGGCACCAACAUACCUCAAGGAUUACAUUACCUAAGGAAUAUUCGAGAAGGAACAAAAAGAGUGAGAAAGAUGACAGUUGUGAUUUUGGUUAUUUUGUUGUGACUAUUUGUUUUGCCAAUCAUUACAUAGUUGCUUAGUUACGCUUGUAUUGUUGUGGGGUAAAAGAUAUUUGUAGAGGGCAACACGUCAAAAAAGUGAAUAUAGAAAAUGGCAAAUAUUUCUUCUUCUCUCUCUCCGUCUCUCCUGCUAUCUCUGUUUCUCCAUUAAUUUCAAUUCUUUUUGCUUCUUUUUGCUGGAGUCGGCACUUACUCGAAAAGUGUAUGUCUAUGAUAUAAACUCUGAGUUGCAGAGUUGUAUCAACCUCACUGGAAUCUCGUUGAUGUUCAAUGAGAUUCAUGAGGUGCCUGAUGGGUUGGAGUGUCCAAAGAUCCAGGCUUUAUUCCUACAGAAAAAUUCUCCCUUAGUUAUUCCUGACAAAUUUUUUCAACGGAUGAAAGAUCUGAAAGUUUUAGACAUGGGUAAAAUCUCACGUUUAUCACUGCCUCCUCUCUCAUUCCUUAUUAACCUUAGAACUUUACGUCUUGAUAAUUGCUUUGGCUUGGGUGACCUAUCUUUAAUCGGAGAGUUAGGUCGAUUAGAGAUUCUUGAUCUUUCAAAAUCUCAUAUAAGUGAAAUUCCUGCCAGUUUUCGCCAACUGGCUCAGCUAAAAUUGUUAGAUUUGACCGGGUGUUACGUCCUAGAGUUAAUACCCCAAGGUGUCAUAUCCCGCCUUUGUAAGCUAGAGGAGUUAUACAUGUCAAACAGUUUUCACCACUGGCAGUUUGAGAGUGAAGAAGAUUCAAGAAGUAAUGCCAAAUUCAUUGAGUUACGAGCCUUGAGUCGACUCACUAGUUUGCAUACUGAAAUCCCGAAAGGCAAAAUCUUGCCUUCCGAUAUGUCCUUCCAAAAUCUGACAAGCUUUUUUAUCUCAAUUGGCGUCAGUAGCAUCAACAGUUCUUGGGCUGUUAUAGAACUGUUCAAUAGAAAAUUUAAGAGAUGCUCGAGAGCAUUGUGGCUUAUGCAGAGGAUUGCAGCGCUACAUUCUUGGAUUAAGAAUUUGCUGCUCAGAUCAGAGAUUCUUGCUUUGGUAGAAAUCAACGAUUUGGAGCAUAUAUUCUCGAACCUAGCUAAUAAUGGCUUUAACGAAUUGAUGUUUCUAGCUAUUUCCGGCUGCAAUGAGAUGAAAUGUCUCUUGAACUCAUUGGAAAGGACACUACGAGUAACUCUCCUCAAGCUAGAAUGGUUGAUGAUAGUUGAUAACCGGAACUUUGUUGAAAUAUGCCACGGUCAACUCCCAGCCGGGUGCUUGAGCAAUGUAAAAAGGUUAGAUGUGGCACAUUGUGGCAGUAUGUUGAAAAUUUUAUCAAGUCAUUUGGUACAAAGCUUUCAAAAUCUUCAACGUUUGACGGUAGAAAGUUGUGAGUUGCUGGUGUCUGUAUUCGAAAUUGAACGGGUUGAUGUUGCAAAAGAAGAAAUCGGGUUGUUUUCGUCAUUAGAGAAACUGACUCUGAUCGACCUGCCUCGGAUGACAGACAUAUGGAAAGGUGACACUCAAUUUGUAAGUCUCCGUAACUUGAAGAAAGUAAGAGUGCAAGAUUGCAAUGAGUUGAGACAAGUAUUUCCAGCAAGUCUUGGGAAGAAAGCAGCAGCAGAGGAGAUGGUACUGUACAGGAAAAGAAGAGAUCACAUUCACAUUCACGCCACAACCUCAACCUCCUCUCCGACUCGGAGUUUGGGAAACCUGGUUUCUAUUACAAUUCAGAGAUGUGGGAAAUUACGAAAGCUCUUCACAACCUCCAUGGUCAAAAGCCUGGUGCGACUUGAAAGCCUGGAAGUAAGCAGCUGCCCAACACUGCAAGAAAUAAUCAUGGAUGAUGAAGGAGAAGUGGGACUGCAGGGAGCAUCAACAGAGAAUAUCACGUUUCCAAGUUUGUUCAGCAUACAACUCUGGGAUCUAGACAGCCUCGCUUGUUUCUGUUCAGCAGGUUCACAUGCUACUACUGAAUUCCUAGCUUUGGAGGCUUUGCUAAUAAUUGAUUGUCCAAGCAUGAAGACCUUUGGUUAUGGAGACCAACUGACGCCCAAGCUGCUGAAAGGAGUGAAGUUAGAAGGUGGUGAAUAUCGCUGGACGGGUAACCUUAACCACACCAUUCAACAAUACGUGUACAACGCAAAGGUACGUCAAGUUAGCAAUUGCUUGCCCAUUAAAUUCCUUGUUUUUUUUUUCUUAAUUGUAUUUGUAUGUGG
rnacentral:lncRNA from 1 species